UCGCGAAAACUUUGCAAUACACGAAAGUGUGACAGGGCUAUCCCGAGUGCCAUCCGCUGAGGAAGGCUUUUACCCAGUCUAGAACGCUGGGGGGAAUAAGGAGAGGGCAAGUCUGGUGUCAGCCGCCGCGGUAAUACCAGCUCUCCGAGUGGUGUGGAUGUUUAUUGGGCCUAAAGCAUCCGUAGCUGGCUAAGUUAGUCCCUUGUUAAAUCCACCGAAUUAAUCGUUGGAUUGCGGGGGAUACUGCUUGGCUAGGGGACGAGAGAGGCAGACGGUAUUUCCGGGGUAGGGGUGAAAUCCUAUAAUCCCGGGAAGACCACCAGUGGCGAAGGCUGUCUGCUAGAACGCGCCCGACGGUGAGGGAUGAAAGCUGGGGGGAGCGAACCGGAUUAGAUACCCGGGUAGUCCCAGCUGUAAACGAUGCAGGCUAGGUGUUUGGACGGCCACGUGCCGUUCUAGUGCCGCAGGGAAGCUGUUAAGCCUGCCGCCUGGGGGAGUCGAUCGCAAGAUUGAAACUUAAAGGAAUUGGCGGGGGAGCCG
rnacentral:rRNA from 1 species